rnacentral:misc_RNA from 1 species
GAUGAAGAACGUAGCGAAAUGCGAUACUUGGUGUGAAUUGCAGAAUCCCGUGAACCAUCGAGUCUUUGAACGCAAGUUGCGCCCGAAGCCAUUAGGCCGAGGGCACGCCUGCCUGGGCGUCACACGUCGUUGCCCCCCCCAUCUACUCCUUCGGGAUUGCGGGGGGCGGAUGAUGGCCUCCCGUGCGCCUCGCCGCGCGGUUGGCAUAAAUGCCAAGUCCUCGGCGACGCACGCCACGACAAUCGGUGGUUGCGAAACCUCGGUGGCCCGUCGUGUGCGGUCGUCGCGCAUCGAGGGCUCGAAAAAAUUGCCGAGUUCCGGCUCGGCUUUCAACGCGACCCCAGGUCAGGCGGGGUUACCCGCUGAAUUUAAGCAUAUCAAUAAGCGGAGGA